rnacentral:rRNA from 1 species
UACAGAGGGUGCGAGCGUUGUUCGGAAUUAUUGGGCGUAAAGGGCGCGUAGGCGGUGCGGUAAGUCACCUGUGAAAUCUCCUGGCUCAACUGGGAGCUUGCAGGCGAAACUGCCGUGCUGGAGUGUGGGAGAGGUGCGUGGAAUUCCCGGUGUAGCGGUGAAAUGCGUAGAUAUAGGGAGGAACACCUGUGGCGAAAGCGGCGCACUGGACCACAACUGACGCUGAGGCGCGAAAGCUAGGGGAGCAAACAGG